GCCGACGUAGCUCAAUGGAUAGAGCAAGCCCGUCCUAAGGGCGAGAUUGUAGGUUCGAGUCCUAUCGUCGGUA
rnacentral:tRNA from 1 species